rnacentral:misc_RNA from 1 species
AACCCUCAAGCCCCCGGGCUUGGUGUUGGGGAUCGGCGUGCCCUCGCGGCGCGCCGUCCCCUAAAUCUAGUGGCGGUCUCGCUGUAGCUUCCUCUGCGUAGUAGCAACACUCGCACUGGAUCGCAGCGCGGCCACGCCGUUAAACCCCCCACUUCUGAAAGUUUGACCUCGGAUCAGGUAGGAAUACCCGCUGAACUUAA